AGAUGCUUCAAUAAUUCCAUAGCUGUAGGCAAAACUGUAUGAACUCAUAAUGUGUUGUGUACAAGAUUUAAAUUACCUGGAGUUCAAGUGCUUGAUUUUGAGUUUGAGUUUGAUGAAAGGUUAGAAAAGUUUGGCAAUGCAUCCAUACUGUCGCUUGAACUUAGGGUAGAAACAUCAGCAACGAACUCAUCGAGUGUCUCGACAGCUUGUCGCAGAGCAUUGCACAUCUCUGCAGUCGUCCUCCUUUGAAUGACAACAUCAUCAUGCUCUCGCAACAAAUCUUCAUAUAGGUUCUCGCUGUGGGCGACUCAAGGAGAAACAGUCAAUGAUCAAAAAUUGUUUAGAACUUCAAGUGUGUAGUAAACAAGGUAAUUUUACAUGAUCAACAAGCCGUG
rnacentral:misc_RNA from 1 species